rnacentral:rRNA from 1 species
CUCCUACGGGAGGCAGCAGUGGGGAAUAUUGGACAAUGGACCAAAAGUCUGAUCCAGCAAUUCUGUGUGUUUGAUGAAGGCCUUCGGGUUGUAAAGAACUUUCAGUGGGGAAGAAGCAAGUGACGGUACCCACAGAAGAAGCGACGGCUAAAUACGUGCCAGCAGCCGCGGUAAUACGUAUGUCGCAAGCGUUAUCCGGAAUUAUUGGGCAUAAAGGGCGUCUAGGCGGUCUAAUAAGUCUGAUGUGAAAAUGCGGGGCUCAACUCCGUAUUGCGUUGGAAACUGUUAGACUAGAGUUUUGGAGAGGUAGGCGGAACUACAAGUGUAGAGGUGAAAUUCGUAGAGAUUUGUAGGAAUGCCGAUGACGAAGGUAGCUUACUGGACAAAUACUGACGCUGAAGCGCGAAAGCUAGGGGAGCAAACAGGAUUAGAUACCCUGGUAG